AUUGCCUCGACCAUCUGAAAAUACUUCUCGAAACAAAGUGGUAAACAAAGGAUCCGAAGCAACGGCUAGAGACCCGUCAACGUUCCAAUCAAUUACGAUCUAUUCUCGUUCCCACCGACCACGCGUAGUUUUCAAAACAAAAAGCCAUCCUCCUCUUUCCCUCCCCAGGAGCGAGCGCCACUUACGAAACCUCGAGAAAAAAAUACCUCGAGAAACGCAUUUUAAAUCUCUCACAGAGGAGGAAGAACGCGUCAUCUGGAAGAAGAAGAAGAAGAAGAAGAAGAAGCAGCCAGAUCCGAUCGAGGAGGAAUUCAGGUUUGGAAGAUUGGAAAAGAGACGUGUCUGUUUCCUGUAAACUCGGACUGUUGGAACGGAGAGAAAGACAGAGAGAGAGAAAGAGAGAGAAAGCGCGCGCGUUCUUUCAUCGUGUGUAGAAAGGAAAGACGGCGGAAGUGUUUGCGAGGCGCACGUGGGCGCGAAGAAUGGAGAAAGAGGGGAGGGAGAGGGGUGCGUGGAGUGCAUCACUCGUCGGCCGAAUAGACGGCACAUUUCGAUGGCCGCCCCUGUUCCGCCGCGUUACAAAGCUGCGUGAAAAUGUGCGGGGGUAAAGACGACCGCGGAAGGAAUAUCAAUCAAUCGUCGCCCCUUUACAAGCAUCGCGGCUGGCUGCCACGGAACGUAAACCGGCCCGGUUUAAGAGAAUCGUUGUGUAGUAAGUUGCGACCACAUGGCUGCGUGCGUGCGUGUGUGCCGCGUGCGAGAACAUCGUCUUUUGAAGUGGUACACGGGAGGAAAAUAGGGAAGCACGAUCGGUGUCGAAUCGGCUGGAAUAUUAUUGCGAGUUGGAUAAUCGAGAGAGUGUUGCGUUUGAUCGAGUUGGAUUGGGUGUCGCGGCGGUGUAAUUGAUCGUAAGAAAAAUAAGAUGAUGCAAAAUGCAACGUGGAAAAACGUGUUUCGCGUAUUCGAUUAAAUUUACGCCGAGUUUAUAACGUAUAAAGUGUGAUUCGUAUCGUUUAUUUACGUUCGAAUUCGGUGUCACGCGCUCGGUGUUUCCAUUCUGUUUUGUUUAUUGCCCUUUCGAACCGCCGUACGACGCGAUAUAAUAGAGCUCGCAUUUAGUACAACGAAGGCAUCGGCACGAUCCACAUCGAUAUAAGGGCCGAGGCAUCCUUCCUCGCUCGUGGCCUCGCACGAAACACUCGUCAAAUGUUUCGAAGGGCACCGGCUCUCGUUAUCUCUUCCCCCCUGUCCGCAGGUAGACGAGAGCAGUCGCGGAGAGAGAUUGGAAAAGUUGGAGGAUUCUUGGAUUUCGAGAUUUGAAGGAAAGAGGGAUCCGAGAAAUGGCAGGAUAGGAUGCUGUGCACACGAUCGGCUCGAGCAAAGUGGGAGGAGGAAGAGGAGGGGGAGGAGCAAGAAGCGAAAAGCUAACCUAAACCGAGCGCCUGGCUACGACACAAGAACCGCGGAACACGAUCAGGGAUCGCGAAGGUGUAAGCCGAGCCUCGAACGAAGAAACGGCGAAAUCUCUUUGGAUGGACAGUUCGAAGACAGGGUGGACAGUUUAAAGAAAUUCACGACUAUCUUGGCGACGAGAAACAAAGAGAUUUAAGGAAAGUUAAGAAACAAACUAGUAAUUCUCAAACUAUUUCUUGUAAUAUUUUUCUAUCUUGGCCUUUAUGUACAUUGGAAAAGAAAAGAAGGACUCGUUAUCACAGUUUCAAUUCGUCCGAGAGAAAUUUUAAAAAUUCCUCCGCCAUAACAAACGUAAAAGAAAUAAUAAGAAUCGAACUAGGAUGAACGAAGGAAAUUCCGUCGCGCCGUAAAUAUUGCAGCGAAAGUGUAAAAAAAGGAAAAAAAAAAUAUCCACCAAUUUUGCCACCAACGACACACCUUACACGGAAGGAUCGGGAUAUAUACUUCGGCAGAUACGAAAUUUUUAUCAGCUAAUGAUAGGUACAAUUUUUACCGAUCGAGAGGAAAGGUAGAAAAAAAAUUUCAUUUUUUUACUAUAAAUUGAAAUUACUGUAAUAUCUUUCAAAAUUUACAUCAAAAUCGUCGAUAUGAAGAGUCGGACAUCGACUUCGGCGGCAUCGAGGAAGGAAGGAAUAAAGAAACCGGAAACGCGCGAAAAACGGUUCGAUCAAUCUCUCUUCCUAAGACGUCUAGCCGAGUUUCAUCCGGCAGCGUCCAAGUGGAAGAAAGAAGGGCACAAGGUGGCUCGUCGAUAUCCGCGAAAAUAGUGGAGGGAGAGGGGGGUGGGCGAAGAACGAGAGGGAGGACGAGAAAAGGAGGGACGAGGGGUUGGAAGAGGAAGAAGGAAGGACUGGCAAGGGGGCACGAUCGAAGUACGUCGGACAGCAAGGAGGCGCCGGUACUGCGCGCCACACCCCAAUGCAGCAACUCCAUUGAUUAUUGUUGCCGGUGCACUUCCUACCCCGCCUUUGGCGAACGACAAGUAUGCCCUGAUUCCAGGUCCCAGGCGAGCGGGCGACGACGGCGGCGGGGGCGGCAGUUGCAAGGUGUUUCGUACCGGCAACAUUCCAUGUUAGGAAAUUUGUAAGAGGCCGUCGCCGCUGCAAAACAAUGCUAAUGCGCCUCCUCCAGUCCGUCUCCCCGAUCCUGCCUUUUCUUCGAUCCUGAUGCCGCCUGUAUCCCUGUAACGUGCAUCUAAUUUUGAUUAAAAAGGAUCAAAGAUAUUGCAUUUGAAAAUUUCAGAUUCUUCUUAUUCUUCCACGUAAAAAUUCUAUCAGGAUUCGGGGUUACUUCAAUCAAGUUUCUUUUUUCAGAAAUCGAUAUCGAGAAUAAUCUUAUUCGUCCUGAUAAAUUUCAAAAUUCAUUUCCGAUGAUUCGCUGAUCCAAAGGAUUGUAUGCAUCGUGUACAUCGAGCAGAAGGAUGACAAAGUAGGAAGGAUCAAAGGUAUCUGUCAGUUUUCCAUCAAAGUGGCGAGUGGAUAAACGUGGAGCUCGAAUGCGGGUCACGUUGUGGGGUUGCAUGCAGGAAAAUAACGGAACCGGUGUCAAGUCUGGUGGCGGUGCAAAGCGCGUGGCGGCCGAAGGGGGAUAAAAAAAGGAAGGAAAAAAGAGAGAGAGAGAACGGCACGGCUGGAGCAAAGCGCGCGAACCUGGCACACGGCCGUCUCUAUUUCCCGUCGGAUUAAUCUCGAUAAUUAGAAAGCGUAUCACCCACUCGUUGCACGCGCCGUCGACUUGGAGCGUUUCACUUCAUUCGCCUCAUUCACCAAACUCGCGUUAUCCGCUCACUCGAGUUACACACCUCACUCACGGUAAACCUUCUCUCCCCUUCUCCGUCUCGGGACCAGCAGCCACCACCAUCGUCCCUCCAGUCAUUCACUUCACGUGCCACCUGCUCUCUGUGCCACGGAUCUUUCCUCCCUUUCUCUGUCUUCCUUUCUCUUCACACCUUCUCUUCCUGUCUGCUCGUGUAACCGCCCAGCAAGAGCCACGAGCGGCUGCAAGAUGUCAAGAAAAAGAGAUGUCGCUAUCGGGAAUCGAAGCGUAAUUCGCGCUCGAAAGAUCACUGAACAAUCCUCGCGAGCAGAGGUAAGCCUACAUUAUCGAUCGAGUCGUCAUCUUUGUACCGAUGAGUAUAAUUAUCCAUGUUUUAGAUUAGUUGCGUUGUUACGCGUCUUCGAAUGUGACAAUUUAGUUUUAUUUUUAAUUAAUAGAUAACGAUUUUUUUGAAACGAGAAGGAGAUGAAUACGGGAAAAGUGUCACGUGCGUAAUAAAAAGCAUACGAUUAAAACAAUUAAUAUUAGAUUAGAAGAAUCGUAUUUGACAUGAUUUAUAGUCGGAGAAAUAAUCUUGAACAGAAACUUCGGGUUUAAUUAUAGUACAGAUUAUAGAUCGUCUGAAAUCAAUUAGCCGUUCAAAGCUAUUAAGGAGGGAGGGGCCAAUCGUAGCGUUUCAUCCUUUACCUCCGUUCUCCAUAUACUGUUCAUCUAAUUCAAAGAAGGUAGCUUCGAUCGAAAUAAAUUUCCAAAUAAUAAUAUUGCAUUACAAUUAUUCCCCUCUUCCUAAUUACAUUAAUUUGUCAAUAAAAUCCAUCGUCAAUUUUUUGCAACAACAGAAAUAAUUUCAAGAAACGAGCAAAUGAUCCUUGACCGCCAAUAAGAACACCAGAUGUCCUCUCGAUCGUUCCAAAGCGGUCUGGAAGCGAGGUACCAGCCUCUUAAAUGCAAAGCGCGCGUCACGAGUAACCGUGACGCGGGUAAUACGAUCGCAAGACCGGUGGACGGUGAUUGUUCUCCGGAGAAGGCGCCGCUCAGAGUUCCGGGAAUACCAGGAUCGUCGAGUAGCAGGUAGACGACGGGCGCAGGGUCGGCAAUUACGGUUAACCGUCGAUAUCAUGUGUUGGUGGCAUAGGUGUACACGCUGAAUCACGCACGAAAUCCACGGGUCGUUAAGUCUACUUGCUCAAUGACAUCGGUGACCGCAACACGAAAAAGCGUAUAGCUUGAUCAAGCAAAAGAGAAAUUCCUAUGCACGUCAUCAAGAAGUUGGCCACUUAUGCUUUUCUCAUAUUACUUUUAUAGUUCCAGCUUAUAAUACUUUUAAUAUUUUAAGGAUUCUUCCUUUCACUCGUAUGGUUAAAUUGCACAAAUUACAAAAGUCUCGCGUUAUUAUUGAUUAAUCGAAUCAGGUGAAUCGGUUCGACCUAGUCAAGAUCAAAGCGUGUAACAUUAAUUGUAAUUUUGGUUACAAUCGAUUGGAUGAAUAAGGGGGAAAAAGCAUCUUAUUCCAAUAAAUAAUAACAUAAUCAAC